rnacentral:rRNA from 1 species
UACGUAGGGUCCGAGCGUUGUCCGGAAUUACUGGGCGUAAAGCGUGCGCAGGCGGUUUUGUAAGUCAGAUGUGAAAAUCCCCGGGCUUAACCUGGGAACUGCGUUUGAAACUACAAGGCUAGAGUGUGGCAGAGGGGGGUAGAAUUCCACGUGUAGCAGUGAAAUGCGUAGAGAUGUGGAGGAACACCGAUGGCGAAGGCAGCCCCCUGGGGUCAAGCACUGACGCUCAUGCACGAAAGCGUGGGGAGCAAACAGG